rnacentral:rRNA from 1 species
UACGUAGGGUGCAAGCGUUGUCCGGAAUUAUUGGGCGUAAAGCGCGUGUAGGCGGUCCGGUAAGUCCGCUGUGAAAGUCGAGGGCUCAACCCUCGAAUGCCGGUGGAUACUGUCGGGCUUGAGUACGGGAGAGGCGAGUGGAAUUCCUGGUGUAGCGGUGAAAUGCGCAGAUAUCAGGAGGAACACCGAUUGCGAAGGCAGCUCGCUGGAACGUUACUGACGCUGAGACGCGAAAGCGUGGGGAGCAAACAGG